GGCCUCGUGGCCUAAUGGCUAAGGUGUCUGACUUCGAAUCAGAAGAUUGGGGGUUCGAGUCCCUUCGGGGUCG